GAUGAACGCUAGCGGCAGGCCUAACACAUGCAAGUCGAGGGGCAGCACAGGUAGCAAUACUGGGUGGCGACCGGCGGAUGGGUGCGUAACGCGUAUGCAACCUACCAUUGAUUGGGGCAUAGCCCGAAGAAAUUCGGAUUAAUACUCCAUAAUAUUCAUCAAAGGCAUCUUUUAUGAAUUAAAGCUUUUGCGAUCAAUGAUGGGCAUGCGUGACAUUAGUUAGUUGGUGAGGUAACGGCUCACCAAAACGAUGAUGUCUAGGGGUUCUGAGAGGAUUAUCCCCCACACUGGUACUGAGACACGGACCAGACUCCUACGGGAGGCAGCAGUGAGGAAUAUUGGUCAAUGGACGCAAGUCUGAACCAGCCAUGCCGCGUGCAGGAUGACGGCCCUAUGGGUUGUAAACUGCUUUUCCACGGGAAGAACCCUCGACGUGUCGGAGACUGACGGUACCGUGGGAAUAAGCAUCGGCUAACUCCGUGCC
rnacentral:rRNA from 1 species